UGUUGAGCAGUCUAGGGGUUGAUCGUGACCAUGUGAUAGCCAGCUUUGGGAGAGAGAACGCCACUGUCUGAACAUAGAAAAAUCUAAAGGAGUUUCCAUUGCGCGAGAGAAAGAUUGCCCCUGCUUACAAACCCGUUAUUCGAGUUCUCUCAAAGGCAUCGACGGCUCGGUGAAAAGUGCUGGAGAGAAGCUGUUCCGAACAGCCUGACAUCUCCGUGGGUCAGAAGAGAGACGCAAUCUCAGCUGGCAUGCGGGAGUUUUCGGAGUCAUUUGACGGCAAACAUUGUACAAAAUAAAUAAGAACUCGUUCGCAGAUUCUUUUCCUUGAUUGCGUCAUCAGUUUGGUAAUUAAAAACUCUUAACCGAUGACUGUCGGUGAUACAAAUUUGCAUAAUUAUUUUUGAAAAAGUAGCUACUGCAGGGCAGGAGUUUGAAUCCUGGAAUAAAACCGGGAACAGAGAUUACACCCCUCAGUCGCCUUUUUUGUGGGGGACUGUCGUGUUUUCCCUUUGCUCAACACAUUUCCGAGGUUUAUAGGCAAUAUUUGAAACAUGGUUGGGGAAAUGGAAACGAAGGAGAAGCCCAAGCCGACUCCUGACUAUUUGAUGCAGCUCAUGAACGACAAGAAACUGAUGAGCAGCCUGCCAAACUUCUGCGGUAUCUUCAACCAUCUCGAGAGACUGUUAGAUGAAGAGAUUGGACGGGUACGGAAGGACAUGUACAAUGACACACUGAAUGGCAGCACAGACAAAAGAACAUCAGAGCUCCCGGAUGCUGUGGGGCCCAUCGCACAACUCCAAGAGAAACUCUAUGUGCCUGUCAAAGAGUUUCCAGAUUUUAAUUUUGUUGGAAGAAUCCUGGGGCCCCGUGGCCUGACAGCCAAGCAACUGGAAGCAGAGACGGGCUGCAAAAUUAUGGUGCGAGGCAAAGGCUCCAUGAGAGACAAGAAGAAGGAAGAGCAGAACAGGGGGAAACCUAAUUGGGAACACCUGAAUGAAGACCUGCACGUCCUCAUCACUGUGGAAGACUCUCAGAACCGCGCUGAGAUCAAACUCAAAAGAGCUGUCGAGGAGGUCACGAAACUGCUAGUUCCUGCGGCGGAAGGUGAAGACAGCUUGAAGAAAAUGCAGUUGAUGGAGCUGGCCAUUCUCAACGGCACAUACAGAGACGCCAAUAUCAAGUCAUCAGCCUUAGCUUUUUCCCUGGCCGCCACUGCACAAGGUCCCCGCAUCCUCACAGGCCCCUCCCAAGUGAUGCCAACUGCGGCUCUGCGUACCCCUGCAUCCGCUGCCCCCACCCUCAUGCCCCUCAUCCGACAGUUCCAGACCUCUGCCAUCAUGCCCACAGGCACGCCCCACCACGCCGCGACCCUCUUACCCCAGACCUCUGAGUCAGGCAUCAUCUAUGCACCCUACGAUUACCCCUACACCCUUGCCCCUGCAACCUCCAUCCUCGAAUAUCCCAUUGACUCCAGUGGUGUUUUAGGUAUGGCUUUCCCAACAAAAGGCUAGUAAAGCUCAGAGGUUUAACAGUCUACAACCCAUACGAGUGUUAAAAAAUGCUUUGCUUUACAGCCGCCUUGGAACAAAAAAAGAGCAAAUGGAGAAACUAAAGACUAAAGAUCAUUACUACUGAUGUUUACACUGGUCUUAACUGUUUUUUUACUCAUUGAAAUAUUUUCAUAUAAAUACUGAUAAUUAAGCCUUUAUUACAUUCCUCUGUUUUAAAUGUAAUCUAUAUUUGUUUAGCUUGUAAUAUUUGUAUGACUUAUUUUGCUGCAACUGUAUCUUAACUAUUUAGAGUGAUCAGUAUUAUUGCUAAUAUAACUUGUUUUUUACAGAUGAAAUAGCUUGUAGUGCAUUUAUAUGACCUGAGACAUCUAGUGUGUUAGGAGUUAUUUGUUAGGAAUACAAGGGCCUUAUAGUCAUGGUUUAAAUUAAAGCAAAAAAAAAUGUGUUUUUAUGAAAUUACUUCAGAUGAAAGAGAAUUUGACAGUGGGCAACAUCAAAUAAUGAAAUUUUACUUGGAAUUCUAAAAGCAAGAUCACUUGUUCCUUGUAAUUUGGUCUUACAAGCCUUAUUAAACAAUUUUUGUGAUGUAGUUUUAAUGCAUUUUGAUUAAUAAUCUGAUGUAAAUUCCUGUUUUUUUGGCAAUGUUGCGCUCUGAGCAGGUGCAGUGACUACUAAAGUACGAAGGCAGGAUAUGCGCGUCCAUCCUUACCAAAGGGUAGUGACCGCAGAACGAGCCGCCACGGCAACUAACCAAUGACCCUCUGAGCUCUCAACUCUUCAUCCAAUGAUGACCUGACCAUUGCCUGCCUGCUGACAAGUUCUCAGACUCUCGUCCUUCGCUUCUGUGAUUUGGCGGCCUGCCGGCGAGCCCAGAAGCAGCUUUAAUUCGCUUAACACAGUUGAGAAGCCGUGAUGGCCCUAACGCUACCACCCGCAGGACAGAAUCGCUCCGCUUGUCUGAGGACCUUCUUGGUCAGGUGACCUGUGCUACUCAGCCUGCAUGGAAGUGUCAAUGCAAUAACACUGUCUGAGCAAAGUCCCACUAUUAGCCUUUCACACACUAAACACACACAUAUUUGUAUUGAUUUCUAAAAAUGAAUGUUUGAGCAUAAUGUUCAAAAGGAUAGAUUCAAAAACGAAAACUUCUAUCAUCAUUUACUCACCCUCAUGUUGUUCCAAACCUGUAUGGCUUUCUUCCAUGGAACACGUCAUAUGGAUUUGGAACAACAUGAAGGAGAGUAAAUGAUGACUCAUGAUUCAUUUUUGGGUGAUUUUUCCCUUGAACUCUCUUAGUGUGUGCACUCACAGUCUCUUAUAGUUCUCAUGGCAUCCUGACGAAAUGGAAACAAAAUAACACAUUUGAGUAAAUAGUUGGUGAAACCAGCUAUUUAAAACUGACUUUUAGGUUGAGAUGUCCAUAAGGGAUGUAAAAGCCAUGCUUGCCUACCAGCGUUUUAUUCAGAGAGCUGUUUAAAUGCAUCCAGACACAUGAACAAGUGUACAAACGCUGAAUAUCAAUUGAAAUCUUUUUGAUAUGAGGGUGCUGCACAGGAAGUGAAUAUAUAUUUUUCCACAGGUGUUCAUUUUUGUAUUCAGAAUCAGUGUUGUUAAAUUGUGAUGAACAAAUCAUGUUUAUUUCUUUACAACGACAAAGAAAUUUUAGAGACCAAAAGAGUGUCUUUUUUUUUUUUUUUUU